rnacentral:sRNA from 1 species
UCCAGACUCUGUUGCUCUGCGGGAUGA